rnacentral:rRNA from 1 species
AUUGAACGCUGGCGGCGGGCCUAAUACAUGCAAGUCGAACGAGUGGCGGACGGGUGAGUAAUGUCUGGGAAACAGCCUGAUGGAUGGGGAUAACUACUGGAAACGGUAGCUAAUACCGAAAAGCAUCGGCUGUGCCCAGAUGGGAUUAGCUAGUAGGUGGGGGAAAGGCUUACCUAGGCGACGAUCCCUAGCUGGUCUGAGAGGAGGAAGAGCCACACUGGAACGGAGACACGGUCCAGACUCCUACGGGAGGCAGCAGUGGGGAAUAUUGCACAAUGGGCGAAAGCCUGAUGCAGCCAUGCCGCGUGUAUGAAGAAGGCCUUCGGGUUGUAAAGUACUUUCAGCGGGGAGGCGGUACCCGCAGAAGAAGCACCGGCUAACUCCGUGCCAGCAGCCGCGGUAAUUC